AUCUGGCUGGCUCAGUUGGUAAAGCAUGAGACUCUUGAUCUCAGGGUCAUGAGUUCAAGCCCCAUGUUGGGUA
rnacentral:tRNA from 1 species